AGUGAACGCUGGCGGUAGGCCUAACACAUGCAAGUCGAACGGCAGCACAGUAAGAGCUUGCUCUUACGGGUGGCGAGUGGCGGACGGGUGAGGAAUACAUCGGAAUCUACUUUUUCGUGGGGGAUAACGUAGGGAAACUUACGCUAAUACCGCAUACGACCUACGGGUGAAAGCAGGGGAUCUUCGGACCUUGCGCGAUUGAAUGAGCCGAUGUCGGAUUAGCUAGUUGGCGGGGUAAAGGCCCACCAAGGCGACGAUCCGUAGCUGGUCUGAGAGGAUGGUCGGCCACACCGGGACUGGGAAAAGGUCCAGGCUUCCAAGGGGAGGAGCAGUAGGGAAAUAUUCGACAAGGGCGGCAGGCUUACUCCACCCCUACGGGGGAGGUAAAAAAGUCUUUGGGGCGUAAAAGUCUGUUUGUAGGGAAAGAAAAGCGGCAGAUUAACACCCCGCUGUUCUGCCGGUACCAAACAAAAAAGCACCGGCUAACUCGGUC
rnacentral:rRNA from 1 species